rnacentral:sRNA from 1 species
UUUUUUUUUGCAAAUUGUAUCUAUCUAUAAUAUAUUUUUAUUUUAUAGUUUACAAUUGUUAUUAAGUAACGUCCUGCCAAACCCAUCCCGCCAAACCCGUCCCGUAAAAAAACUAUUUAUUUAUAUUAAUGUUGAUCUUAUUUAUGAUAUGUUUAUAAAUCAUUGUCUAAAUAUUUUUGUCGAUGCGAGACGUUGAACCCACACAGUUUUUGCUAAUUGGUUAAUAUAUGUUCAUUUUUAAAAUUUUGAAUCAUAAAAUAUGACGGAAAAAAUUAAGAUUUUUUUAAACUCUAUAUAUUAUAUAAUGAUGUUAAAAAAUUGUAAUAUAUCAAAGUUAUUAUAAGUUUAAAUAUUAAUAAUGUUUUAUAAAUUUUAAAUAUAUAAAUAAUAAU